GAAAGAUUCAUCGGAAGAGGAUGGGCAUGCGGCGCAUUAGCUAGACGGCGGGGUAACGGCCCACCGUGGCGACGAUGCGUAGGGGUUCUGAGAGGAAGGUCCCCCACACUGGUACUGAGACACGGACCAGACUCCUACGGGAGGCAGCAGUGAGGAAUAUUGGUCAAUGGGAGAGAUCCUGAACCAGCCAAGCCGCGUGAGGGAAGACGGCCCUAUGGGUUGUAAACCUCUUUUGUCGGAGAACAAAACCCGGGACGAGUCCCGGACUGCGUGUAUCCGAAGAAAAAGCAUCGGCUAACUCCGUGCCAGCAGCCGCGGUAAUACGGAGGAUGCGAGCGUUAUCCGGAUUUAUUGGGUUUAAAGGGUGCGUAGGCGGUCCGUUAAGUCAGCGGUAAAAUUGCGGGGCUCAACCCCGUCGAGCCGUUGAAACUGGCAGACUUGAGUUGGCGAGAAGUACGCGGAAUGCGCGGUGUAGCGGUGAAAUGCAUAGAUAUCGCGCAGAACUCCGAUUGCGAAGGCAGCGUACCGGCGCCAGACUGACGCUGAGGCACGAAAGCGUGGGGAUCGAACAGGAUUAGAUACCCUGGUAGUCCACGCAGUAAACGAUGAAUGCUGGUUGUCCGGGUCGAAUGAGAUCUGG
rnacentral:rRNA from 1 species